CUACGGGUGGCUGCAGUGGGGAAUUUUGGACAAUGGGGGCAACCCUGAUCCAGCCAUUCCGCGUGAGUGAAGAAGGCCUUCGGGUUGUAAAGCUCUUUCAGCAGGAACGAAACGGUGCGCCCUAACAUAGCGUGCUAAUGACGGUACCUGCAGAAGGAGCACCGGCUAACUACGUGCCAGCAGCCGCGGUAAUACGUAGGGUGCGAGCGUUAAUCGGAAUUACUGGGCGUAAAGCGUGAGCAGGCGGAUUGUUAAGCAGAUGUGAAAGCCCCGGGCUUAACCGGGGAAUGGCAUUUUGAACUGGCAGUCUAGAGUGUGUCAGAGGGGGGUGGAAUUCCACGUGUAGCAGUGAAAUGCGUAGAGAUGUGGAGGAACACCGAUGGCGAAGGCAGCCUCCUGGGAUAACACUGACGCUCAUGUACGAAAGCGUGGGUAGCAAACAGGAUUAGAUACCCUGGUAGUC
rnacentral:rRNA from 1 species